GACAAUGGGCGCAAGCCUGAUCCAGCAAUACCGCGUGCAGGAUGAAGGCCUUCGGGUUGUAAAGCUGCUUUAGUACGGAGCGAAAAGGCUCUGUCUAAUACAGGGGGUUCAUGACGGUACCGUAAGAAUAAGCACCGGCUAACUACGUGCCAGCAGCCGCGGUAAUACGUAGGGUGCAAGCGUUAAUCGGAAUUACUGGGCGUAAAGCGUGCGCAGGCGGUCUUGUAAGUCAGGUGUGAAAUCCCCGGGCUUAACCUGGGAACUGCACUUGAGACUGCAAGGCU
rnacentral:rRNA from 1 species